rnacentral:lncRNA from 1 species
CCAAAUUCCAUCCUUUCCAUUCCAUAACCGCCGACAUCCUCCCAACACAUCCGUUCAUCAUCGCAGCCAAUCGUCGUCGCCUCCUGUCCGUCGUGUUCACCGGCCAUCUUCUCCGUUCGUCGCCGGCCAGACUAUAUUCUGACCAGAAACUCUGUUUUUGUUCAUUCCAGAAAAUAAACUAUAUUGAAUAGACCGGCCAGAUCAGUCAUCUCUGUUUGGGUUAUUCCGGCCAGAAAUUAGCCCUUCAUCAUCACCGUCUACGAUACCGGAUUUGAUCCCGUAUCACAAGCAUUGGUCGCACGAUCGACUACAGAAACCGAAUACAGGAGCGUAGCGGAUGCAGUUGCGGAACUGGAAUGGAUUAAGCAAUUACUGUCUGAAUUGUGACCAAAUUAAUUUCAUCAGAGUUUCAGCAGAAUUUCAUUAGUUUUUUUUAAUUUAGUGCAGAUUUGAUGAAAUCAGAGUUUGAGCAUGUGCAGAAAGGAGGGGGAGGGAUCGAAUACACAAAUUAAAAAAGAAAUCGACAAUUAAAAUCUAUCUUUACCUUUUCUGACAAAUUUCAGUGACAUGAUUGGUAGAUAGCUCGGUAAAUAAAUAAGUAGGAUGUGUAAAGUAGUAGACUUGUGAUUUGCUAUUAAGGAUUUUACUAAUCAAUGUGCGGCACGGUGUGCAUAUACGCUUCUGAUGUGCACUCGAAAUGAGAAAUCUUCAAAAUUAUAUUCAUG